rnacentral:piRNA from 1 species
UCAUCGGCGACAUCAACAUGAACACCAUCA